GGGUGCAUAGCUGAGAUAGUAGAGCCAAAGUUUACUUAUUUAUUCUGUAAACUUUGGUAGAGCGCUCGCUUAGCAUGCGAGAGGUACCGGGAUCGAUGCCCGGCGCUUCCA